GACGAACGCUGGCGGCGUGCUUAACACAUGCAAGUCGAACGGAAAGGCCCUGCUUUUGUGGGUUGCUCGAGUGGCGAACGGGUGAGUAACACGUGAGUAACCUGCCCUUGACUUUGGGAUAACUUCAGGAAACUGGGGCUAAUACCGGAUAGGACCUCCUGCUGCAUGGUGGGGGUUGGAAAGUUUCGGCGGUUGGGGAUGGACUCGCGGCUUAUCAGCUUGUUGGUGGGGUAGUGGCUUACCAAGGUUUUGACGGGUAGCCGGCCUGAGAGGGUGGCCGGCCACAUUGGGACUGCGAUACGGCCCAGACUCCUACGGGAGGCAGCGGUGGGGAAUAUUGCACAAUGGGCGGAAGCCUGAUGCAGAAACGCCGCGUGCGGGAUGACGGCCUUCGGGUUGUAAACCGCUUUCGCCUGUGACGAAGCGUGAGUGACGGUAAUGGGUAAAGAAGCACCGGCUAACUACGUG
rnacentral:rRNA from 1 species